rnacentral:lncRNA from 1 species
AGUUCUUAAGUUUAAGUCUUAGCUUGAUCAAGUAUUGAGGAAGGAGAAGCUUGGUUUUAGUGUGUCUAAAGGUGUAAGCGAUUCUCUACAAGUUGCUUAAGUUGUUGUUCAUUCCCUCGUGUGUCGAAGAAAGUUCUAUUCUUUGUUGUGUGAUUGUUAAUCUUCUUAUAAUCAUUUAACUGAUAUUUUAGUAAAAUGUCAAUCACUCUUUCUAAAGUGAUUAACAAUUGGACGUAGAAUCUUUUGAUUCGAACUAGUAUAAAAAUCAUGUGUGUGAUUUUCUUUAUCUCUACAUUAACUUGUUAUAAAAUGUUCGACGAAAGUUCUAAAAGAAAGCUAAAAUUUUAAAAGAACCAAUUCAUCCAUCCCCUCUUGGUUUGUGUUUGUUUUCACGCUCUUUAAAAUGUUC